CGGAUCCUACGGGAGGCAGCAGUGGGGAAUUUUGCGCAAUGGGGGAAACCCUGACGCAGCAACGCCGCGUGCGGGACGACGGCCCUCGGGUUGUAAACCUCUUUUGUCGGAGAACAAAACCCGGGACGUGUCCCGGACUGCGUGUAUCCGAAGAAAAAGCAUCGGCUAACUCCGUGCCAGCAGCCGCGGUAAUACGGAGGAUGCGAGCGUUAUCCGGAUUUAUUGGGUUUAAAGGGUGCGUAGGCGGUCCGUUAAGUCAGCGGUAAAAUUGCGGGGCUCAACCCCGUCGAGCCGUUGCAACUGGC
rnacentral:rRNA from 1 species